rnacentral:tRNA from 1 species
GGGCUCGUAGUUUAGCGGUAUAACGCGGCUCUCACACAGCCGAGGUCCCCGGUUCGAAUCCGGGCGGGCCCA